rnacentral:tRNA from 1 species
GUCUGGUUAGCUCAGUUGGUUAGAGCGUGGUGCUAAUAACGCCAAGGUCGCGAGUUCUACCCUCGUACUGGACA